rnacentral:rRNA from 1 species
UACGGGGGGGGCAAGCGUUGUUCGGAAUUACUGGGCGUAAAGGGCUGGUAGGCGGCCAACUAAGUCGGAUGUGAAAUCCCCAGGCUUAACCUGGGAACUGCAUCCGAUACUGGUCGGCUUGAAUCCGGGAGAGGGAUGCAGAAUUCCCGGUGUAGCGGUGAAAUGCGCAGAUAUCGGGGAGGAACACCGGUGGCGAAGGCGGUUCUCUGGGCCUUACCUGACGCUGAGGAGCGAAAGCGUGGGGAGCGAACAGG